rnacentral:misc_RNA from 1 species
UCUCCGUUGGUGAACCAGCGGAGGGAUCAUUACAGUACUCGGAAGACUCACACAACCCUGUGAACUUCACUACAAGCACGUUGCUUCGGCGGGUAGCUCGGCCGAGGUCCCCACAGGUGGCCUGCGCAGGGGCGCGAUUCCCGCCUACAGCCUACUAUACUCUGUCUCUUUGCGUUGGCUUCUCGAGAAAAAGCAAACAAGUUGAAACUUUCAACAACGGAUCUCUUGGUUCUG